rnacentral:sRNA from 1 species
UUAGCCCCGAUGGAAGUGGCAUCCUUUUUUCUUGUUUUGCCAACAAGAAAAAAGAUAAAGCGUACAGCGGGAG